AGCGUAGGCGGGAUCGCAAGUCAGAUGUGAAAACUAUGGGCUUAACCCAUAAACUGCAUUUGAAACUGUGGUUCUUGAGUGAAGUAGAGGUAAGCGGAAUUCCUAGUGUAGCGGUGAAAUGCGUAGAUAUUAGGAGGAACAUCAGUGGCGAAGGCGGCUUACUGGGCUUUAACUGACGCUGAGGCUCGAAAGCGUGGGGAGCGAACA
rnacentral:rRNA from 1 species